AUGCACCUACGGGACGCAGCAGUGGGGGAUAUUGCGCAAUGGGGGAAACCCUGAUGCAGCGACGCCGCGUGGUAAAGAAGCGCCUCGGCGCGUAAAGCCCUGUCAGCAGGGAAGAAAAUGACGGUACCUGAAGAAGAAGCCCCGGCUAACUACGUGCCAGCAGCCGCGGUAAUACGUAGGGGGCAAGCGUUAUCCGGAUUUACUGGGUGUAAAGGGGGCGCAGACGGCGAUGCAAGCCAGGAGUGAAAGCCCGGGGCCCAACCCCGGGACUGCUCUUGGAACUGCGUGGCUAGAGUGCAGGAGGG
rnacentral:rRNA from 1 species